rnacentral:rRNA from 1 species
GUCCACGCCCUAAACGAUGUCUACUAGUUGUUGGGUCUUAAUUGACUUAGUAACGCAGCUAACGCGUGAAGUAGACCGCCUGGGGAGUACGGUCGCAAGAUUAAAACUCAAAGGAAUUGACGGGGACCCGCACAAGCGGUGGAUGAUGUGGAUUAAUUCGAUGCAACGCGAAAAACCUUACCUACCCUUGACAUGGAUGGAAUCCCGGAGAGAUCUGGGAGUGCUCGAAAGAGAACCAUCACACAGGUGCUGCAUGGCUGUCGU